rnacentral:rRNA from 1 species
GUCAAGAAAAGUCUCUAUCGAGGUUAAAGGUACCCGUACCGCAAACCGACACAGGGGGGUGAGGAGAGUAUCCUAAGGCCAGCGAGAGAACUGUUGUUAAGGAACUCGGCAAAAUGACCCCGUAACUUAGGGAUAAGGGGUGCCACCAUCAGGUGGCCGCAGAGAAUAGGCCCAAGCGACUGUUUACCAAAAACAUAGGUUUCUGCUAAGUCGCAAGACGAUGUAUAGGAGCUGACGCCUGCCCGGUGCUGGAAGGUUAAGGGGAUCUGUUAGAGCAA